UACAGAGUGGGCAAGCGUUGUUCGGAAUUACUGGGCGUAAAGGGCGCGUAGGCGGCCUUCUAAGUCGAACGUGAAAUCCCCGGGCUCAACCCGGGAACUGCGUCCGAUACUGGAAGGCUUGAAUCCGGGAGAGGGAUGCGGAAUUCCAGGUGUAGCGGUGAAAUGCGUAGAUAUCUGGAGGAACACCGGUGGCGAAGGCGGCAUCCUGGACCGGCAUUGACGCUGAGGUGCGAAAGCGUGGGGAGCAAACAGG
rnacentral:rRNA from 1 species